CCUACGGGUGGCUGCAGUGGGGAAUAUUGCACAAUGGGGGAAACCCUGAUGCAGCGACGCCGCGUGAGUGAAGACGUAUUUCGGUAUGUAAAGCUCUAUCAGCAGUGAAGAAAAUGACGGUACCUGACUAAGAAGCCCCGGCUAACUACGUGCCAGCAGCCGCGGUAAUACGUAGGGGGCAAGCGUUAUCCGGAUUUACUGGGUGUAAAGGGCGCGUAGACGGUUAGGCAAGUCUGAAGUGAAAGCCCAGGGCUUAACCCAGGAACUGCUUUGGAAACUGUAGAGCUAGAGUGCAGGAGAGGUAAGCGGAAUUCCUAGUGUAGCGGUGAAAUGCGUAGAUAUUAGGAGGAACACCAGUGGCGAAGGCGGCUUACUGGACUGUAACUGACGUUGAGGCUCGAAGGCGUGGGGAGCAAACAGGAUUAGAUACCCGUGUAGUC
rnacentral:rRNA from 1 species